AUUGAACGCUGGCGGCAGGCCUAACACAUGCAAGUCGAGCGGAUGAAGGGAGCUUGCUCCUGGAUUCAGCGGCGGACGGGUGAGUAAUGCCUAGGAAUCUGCCUGGUAGUGGGGGAUAACGUCCGGAAACGGGCGCUAAUACCGCAUACGUCCUGAGGGAGAGAGUGGGGGAUCUUCGGACCUCACGCUAUCAGAUGAGCCUAGGUCGGAUUAGCUAGUUGGUGGGGUAAAGGCCUACCAAGGCGACGAUCCGUAACUGGUCUGAGAGGAUGAUCAGUCACACUGGAACUGAGACACGGUCCAGACUCCUACGGGAGGCAGCAGUGGGGAAUAUUGGACAAUGGGCGAAAGCCUGAUCCAGCCAUGCCGCGUGUGUGAAGAAGGUCUUCGGAUUGUAAAGCACUUUAAGUUGGGAGGAAGGGCAGUAAGUUAAUACCUUGCUGUCUUGACGUUACCAACAGAAUAAGCACCGGCUAACUUCGUG
rnacentral:rRNA from 1 species